UACAGGGGGGGCAAGCGUUGUUCGGAAUUACUGGGCGUAAAGGGCUCGUAGGUGGCUAACUAAGUCAGACGUGAAAUCCCUCGGCUUAACCGGGGAACUGCGUCUGAUACUGGAUGGCUUGAGUUUGGGAGAGGGACGCGGAAUUCCAGGUGUAGCGGUGAAAUGCGUAGAUAUCUGGAGGAACACCGGUGGCGAAGGCGGCGUCCUGGACCAACACUGACACUGAUGAGCGAAAGCCAGGGGAGCAAACGGG
rnacentral:rRNA from 1 species